CAGUGGAUGUCUAGGCUCGCACAUCGAUGAAGAACGCUGCGAACUGCGAUACGUAAUGCGAAUUGCAGGAUUCAGUGAGUCAUCGAAAUUUUGAACGCAUAUUGCACUUCCGGGUUAGUCCUGGAAGUAUGCCUGUAUCAGUGUCC
rnacentral:rRNA from 1 species